AAAUAAUUUCUAAAGUUCUCUUUUAUUUUUCUUCAUCUGAUUUUCAUUUUUCCACAUUUUGUUUCAUUGAUUUUCUUUUUUUCAUGAAUAUUCUCUUUUCUCCUUUGUUUUAAUUGAUUUAAAAAUACUUUUCUGCCUUUUAAAAUUCUGAAAAAAAAUUUAUAUGUUUCUCAAUUUAUUUACAACCUUCCAUAAUUUUCUUGGCCAUUUAUUUGGUGUUUGGAAGGAUUUUGUGGAUUUUCC
rnacentral:lncRNA from 1 species